rnacentral:rRNA from 1 species
CUUCCUACGGGAGGCAGCAGUAGGGAAUUUUCGUCAAUGGGCGUAAGCCUGAACGAGCAAUGCCGCGUGAACGAGGAAGGUCUUCGGAUCGUAAAGUUCUGUUGAAGGGGAAAAAGAGCGGAGAGAGGAAAUGGUCUCCGAUUGAUAUUACCCUUCGAGGAAGUCACGGCUAACUACGUGCCAGCAGCCGCGGUAAUACGUAGGUGGCGAGCGUUAUUCGGAUUUACUGGGUGUAAAGGGAGUGCAGGCGGAUUGGCAAGUCUGAUGUGAAA